AAGUUAAUAAGGGCGCACGGUGGAUGCCUUGGCACUAAGAGCCGAUGAAGGACGUGACUAACGACGAUAUUCUAGGGGGAGCAGUAAGUACGCAUUGAUCCCUAGGUCUCCGAAUGGGGAAACCCAGCUGCUACUAGCAGUUAUUCAUGAGUGAAUACAUAGCUCAUGUAAAGGUAACGCAGAGAACUGAAACAUCUAAGUACCUGCAGGAAGAGAAAGUAAAAACGAUUUCGUAAGUAGCGGCGAGCGAACGCGAAGAAGGGCAAACCAAGAAGCUUGCUUCUUGGGGUUGUAGGACUGCAACGUGGACUUAAGCAUUAUAGUCGAAUAACCUGGGAAGGUUAAUCAAAGAGGGUAAUAAUCCCGUAGACGAAAUAGCGCUUAUACCUAGCAGUAUCCUGAGUAGGGCUGGACACGCGAAAUCCAGUUUGAAUCCGGGAGGACCAUCUCCCAACCCUAAAUACUCCUUAGUGACCGAUAGUGAACCAGUACCGUGAGGGAAAGGUGAAAAGAACCCCGAGAGGGGAGUGAAAUAGCACCUGAAACCGUGUGCCUACAAGAAGUUCGAGCCCGUUAAUGGGUGAGAGCGUGCCUUUUGUAGAAUGAACCGGCGAGUUACGUUAUGAUGCGAGGUUAAGUUGAAGAGACGGAGCCGUAGGGAAACCGAGUCUGAAUAGGGCGACUUAGUAUCAUGAUGUAGACCCGAAACCUAGUGACCUAUCCAUGAGCAGGGUGAAGGUGUGGUAAGACGCACUGGAGGCCCGAACCAGGACACGUUGAAAAGUGUUUGGAUGACUUGUGGAUAGCGGAGAAAUUCCAAACGAACUGGGAGAUAGCUGGUUCUCUCCGAAAUAGCUUUAGGGCUAGCGUCGAAAUGUAAGUGUAUUGGAGGUAGAGCACUGUUUGGGUGAGGGGUCCGUCUAGGAUUACCAAUCUCAGAUAAACUCCGAAUGCUAAUACACAUGUUCGGCAGUCAGACUGCGAGUGCUAAGAUCCGUAGUCGAAAGGGAAACAGCCCAGACCAACAGCUAAGGUCCCAAAAUAUAUGUUAAGUGGAAAAGGAUGUGGGGUUGCACAGACAACUAGGAUGUUAGCUCAGAAGCAGCUAUCAUUCAAAGAGUGCGUAAUAGCUCACUAGUCGAGUGACCCUGCGCCGAAAAUGUACCGGGGCUAAACAUAUUACCGAAGCUUUGGAUUGAUAUUUUAUCAAUGGUAGGAGAGCGUUCUUAACCGCGAUGAAGGUAUACCGUGAGGAGUGCUGGAGCGUUAAGAAGUGAGAAUGCCGGUAUGAGUAGCGCAAGAUAAGUGAGAAUCUUAUCCACCGUAAGACUAAGGUUUCCAGGGGAAGGCUCGUCCGCCCUGGGUUAGUCGGGACCUAAGGCGAGGCCGAAAGGCGUAGUCGAUGGACAACUGGUUGAUAUUCCAGUACUAGAUAUGAUCGUGAUGGAGGGACGCAGUAGGCUAAGAGAUGCCAGUUAAUGGAUUCUGGUCUAAGCAGUGAGGUGUGAGAUGUGUCAAAUGCAUUUCUCUUUAACAUUGAGCUGUGAUGG
rnacentral:rRNA from 1 species